GGUUAACGAGGCGAACCGGGGGAACUGAAACAUCUAAGUACCCCGAGGAAAAGAAAUCAACCGAGAUUCCCCCAGUAGCGGCGAGCGAACGGGGAGCAGCCCAGAGUCUGAAUCAGCUUGUGUGUUAGUGGAACGGUCUGGAAAGUCCGACGGUACAGGGUGAUAGUCCCGUACACCAAAAUGCACAGGUUGUGAACUCGAAGAGUAGGGCGGGACACGUGGUAUCCUGUCUGAAUAUGGGGGGACCAUCCUCCAAGGCUAAAUACUCCUGACUGACCGAUAGUGAACCAGUACCGUGAGGGAAAGGCGAAAAGAACCCCGGCGAGGGGAGUGAAAAAGAACCUGAAACCGUGUACGUACAAGCAGUGGGAGCACCUUCGGGUGUGACUGCGUACCUUUUGUAUAAUGGGUCAGCGACUUAUAUUCUGUAGCAAGGUUAACCGUAUAGGGG
rnacentral:rRNA from 1 species